rnacentral:rRNA from 1 species
GACGAACGCUGGCGGCGUGCUUAACACAUGCAAGUCGAACGGAAAGGCCCUGCUUUUGUGGGGUGCUCGAGUGGCGAACGGGUGAGUAACACGUGAGUAACCUGCCCUUGACUUUGGGAUAACUUCAGGAAACUGGGGCUAAUACCGGAUAGGAGCUCCUGCUGCAUGGUGGGGGUUGGAAAGUUUCGGCGGUUGGGGAUGGACUCGCGGCUUAUCAGCUUGUUGGUGGGGUAGUGGCUUACCAAGGCUUUGACGGGUAGCCGGCCUGAGAGGGUGACCGGCCACAUUGGGACUGAGGUACGGCCCAGACUGCUACGGGAGGGAGCAGUGGGGAAGAUUGCACAAUGGGCGGCAGCCUGAUGCAGCAACGCCGCGUGCGGGAUGACGGCCUUCGGGUUGUAGACCGCUUUCGCCUGUGACGAAGCGUGAGUGACGGGAAUGGGUAAAGAAGCACCGGCUAACUACGUG